rnacentral:rRNA from 1 species
UACGAAGGGUGCAAACGUUGCUCGGAAUUAUUGGGCGUAAAGCGCACGUAGGCGGCUUAGCAAGUUGGAUGUGAAAUCCCUCGGCUCAACUGAGGAACUGCCUUUGAAACUGUCGUGCUUGAGUCCGGGAGGGGGUAGCGGAAUUCCCAGUGUAGCGGUGAAAUGCGUAGAUAUUGGGAGGAACACCAGUGGCGAAGGCGGCUACCUGGACCGGUACUGACGCUGAUGCGCGAAAGCGUGGGGAGCAAACAGG